rnacentral:rRNA from 1 species
UACGAAGGGGGCUAGCGUUGCUCGGAAUCACUGGGCGUAAAGCGCACGUAGGCGGAUCUUUAAGUCAGGGGUGAAAUCCUGGAGCUCAACUCCAGAACUGCCUUUGAUACUGGGGAUCUCGAGUCCGGAAGAGGUGAGUGGAACUCCGAGUGUAGAGGUGAAAUUCGUAGAUAUUCGGAAGAACACCAGUGGCGAAGGCGGCGACCUGGGUCGAGACUGACGCUGAGGCGCGAAAGCGUGGGGAGCAAACAGG